CCCCUCUCAGCACAGCACCUGGAGAGUUUCCAGUCCUCUACCAGCCUCAGCUGUGGGAGGGAGAGUCAAGCAGAGGCCUACCCAUUCCAUUCCUAGCUUGGCCAGUGACUAGCGGGUGGCAGACAAUCUGCUACAAGU